rnacentral:rRNA from 1 species
GGAUUAGAUACCCUGGUAGUCCACGCUGUAAACGAUGUCGACUAGCCGUUGGGCUCAUUUAAGAGUUUAGUGGCGCAGCUAACGCGAUAAGUCGACCGCCUGGGGAGUACGGCCGCAAGGUUAAAACUCAAAGGAAUUGACGGGGGCCCGCACAAGCGGUGGAGCAUGUGGUUUAAUUCGAUGCAACGCGAAGAACCUUACCAGCCCUUGACAUCCCAAGAAUUCUGUGGAGACGCAGGAGUGCCUUCGGGAGCUUGGAGACAGGUGCUGCAUGGCUGUCGUCAGCUCGUGCCG